AGAGUUUGAUUAUGGCUCAGAACGAACGCUGGCGGCAGGCCUAACACAUGCAAGUCGAACGCUCGUAGCAAUACGGGAGUGGCAGGCGGGUGCGUAACGCGUGGGAACAUACCCUUUGGUUCGGAAUAACUCAGGGAAACUUGAGCUAAUACCGGAUACGCCCGAGAGGGGAAAGAUUUAUUGCCGAAGGAUUGGCCCGCGUCUGAUUAGCUUGUUGGUAGGGUAACGGCCUACCAAGGCGACGAUCAGUAGCUGGUCUGAGAGGAUGAUCAGCCACACUGGGACUGAGACACGGCCCAGACUCCUACGGGAGGCAGCAGUGGGGAAUAUUGGACAAUGGGCGCAAGCCUGAUCCAGCCAUGCCGCGUGAGUGAUGACCGCCCUUAGGGUUGUAAAGCUUUUUUACCCCGGGAAGAUA
rnacentral:rRNA from 1 species